CCUACGGGAGGCUGCAGUAGGGAAUCUUCGGCAAUGGACGAAAGUCUGACCGAGCAACGCCGCGUGAGUGAAGAAGGUUUUCGGAUCGUAAAACUCUGUUGGUAGGGAAGAACGUUGGUGAGAGUGGAAAGCUCAUCAAGUGACGGUAACUACCCAGAAAGGGACGGCUAACUACGUGCCAGCAGCCGCGGUAAUACGUAGGUCCCGAGCGUUGUCCGGAUUUAUUGGGCGUAAAGCGAGCGCAGGUGGUUUAUUAAGUCUGGUGUAAAAGGCAGUGGCUCAACCAUUGUAUGCAUUGGAAACUGGGAGACGUGAGUGCAGGAGAGGAGAGUGGAAUUCCAUGUGUAGCGGUGAAAUGCGUAGAUAUAUGGAGGAACACCGGUGGCGAAGGCGGCUUGCUGGACAGUAACUGACGUUGAGGCUCGAAAGCGUGGGGAGCAAACAGGAUUAGAUACCCUUGUAGUC
rnacentral:rRNA from 1 species